rnacentral:rRNA from 1 species
AAAUGGACUCUCAGCAACGGAUAUUC